GACGAACGCUGGCGGCGUGCUUAACACAUGCAAGUCGAACGAAGUGGCGAACGGGUGAGUAACGCGUAAUCAACCUGCCCUUCAGAGGGGGACAACAGUUGGAAACGACUGCUAAUACCGCAUACUGAAGGAGGGGAUUGCGUCUGAUUAGCUAGUUGGAGGGGUAACGGCCCACCAAGGCGAUGAUCAGUAGCCGGUCUGAGAGGGUGAACGGCCACAAUGGGACUGGGACACGGGCCAGAAUCCUACGGGAGGCAGCAGUGGGGAAUCUUCCGCAAUGGACGAAAGGCUGACGGAGCAACGGCGGGUGAGGGGUGACGGGCUUCGGGGUGUAAAGCUCUUUUAAUCGGGACGCGGUACCGGAAUAGAAAGCCACGGCUAACUACGUGCCAGCAGCCGCGGUAAUUC
rnacentral:rRNA from 1 species